rnacentral:rRNA from 1 species
GUAGGUGGGGUAACGGCUCACCUAGGCGACGAUCCCUAGCUGGUCUGAGAGGAUGACCAGCCACACUGGAACUGAGACACGGUCCAGACUCCUACGGGAGGCAGCAGUGGGGAAUAUUGCACAAUGGGCGCAAGCCUGAUGCAGCCAUGCCGCGUGUAUGAAGAAGGCCUUCGGGUUGUAAAGUACUUUCAGCGGGGAGGAAGGGAGUAAAGUUAAUACCUUUACUCAUUGACGUUACCCGCAGAAGAAGCACCGGCUAACUCCGUGCCAGCAGCCGCGGUAAUACGGAGGGUGCAAGCGUUAAUCGGAAUUACUGGGCGUAAAGCGCACGCAGGCGGUUUGUUAAGUCAGAUGUGAAAUCCCCGGGCUCAACCUGGGAACUGCAUCUGAUACUGGCAAGCUUGAGUCUCGUAGAGGGGGGUAGAAUUCCAGGUGUAGCGGUGAAAUGCGUAGA